rnacentral:misc_RNA from 1 species
GUGAGUCAUCGAAUCUUUGAACGCACAUUGCGCCCCCUGGUAUUCCGGGGGGCAUGCCUGUUCGAGCGUCAUUUAUACCAAUCUAGCCUGGCUAGGUGUUGGGCUUCGCCGGCUGGCGGGCCUUAAAACUAGUGGCGGUGCUCUUAGGCUCUACGCGUAGUAAUCUUCUCGCUACAGGGUCCUGGGAGAUGCUGGCCAGCAACCCCAAAUUUUCCUAGGUUGACCUCGGAUCAGGUAGGGAUACCCGCUGAACUUAAGCAUAUCAAUAAGCGGAGGA